rnacentral:rRNA from 1 species
AUACGUAGGUGGCGAGCGUUGUCCGGAAUUACUGGGCGUAAAGGGCGCGUAGGCGGUUAAUUAAGUCAGAUGUGAAAACCCGGGGCUUAACUUCGGGAUUGCAUUUGAAACUGGAUAGCUUGAGUGCAGGAGAGGUAAGUGGAAUUCCUAGUGUAGCGGUGAAAUGCGUAGAUAUUAGGAGGAACACCAGUGGCGAAGGCGACUUACUGGACUGUAACUGACGCUGAGGCGCGAAAGCGUGGGGAGCAAACAGGAUUAGAUACCCUGGUAGUCCACGCUGUAAACGAUGGAUACUAGGUGUGGGAGGUAUCGACCCCUUCCGUGCCGCAGUUAACGCAAUAAGUAUCCCGCCUGGGGAGUACGGCCGCAAGGUUGAA